rnacentral:ncRNA from 1 species
GUUCAAAUUGAUAGCCUAUAUAAUGCCGUGAUAUGGUCGGCAGUUUCUACCCAGAACCUUAAAUUCUGGACUAUAAGCACUUAGAC